rnacentral:rRNA from 1 species
AACGAACGCUGGCGGCAUGCCUAACACAUGCAAGUCGAACGAGAUCUUCGGGUCUAGUGGCGCACGGGUGCGUAACGCGUGGGAAUCUGCCCUUUGGUUCGGAAUAACGGUUGGAAACGACUGCUAAUACCGGAUGAUGACGAAAGUCCAAAGAUUUAUCGCCAGUGGAUGAGCCCGCGUAGGAUUAGCUAGUUGGUGUGGUAAAGGCGCACCAAGGCGACGAUCCUUAGCUGGUCUGAGAGGAUGAUCAGCCACACUGGGACUGAGACACGGCCCAGACUCCUACGGGAGGCAGCAGUGGGGAAUAUUGGACAAAGGUCGAAAGCCUGAUCCAGCAAUGCCGCGUGAGUGAUGAAGGCCUUAGGGUUGUAAAGCUCUUUUACCCGGGAUGAUAAUGACAGUACCGGGAGAAUAAGCUCCGGCUAACUCCGUGCCAGCAGCCGCCGUAA